AGCAGCUGUGCCAAUAUUGCAGUGCAGUCCGGGGUGGCAAAUUCAAGCGAGGAGCAGCACACAUGCAUGUGUAUGCAUGUAUGCAUGGUUGGGGCCUGGUACAAAGUUGUUCGCGUGACGAACCUCCGGUUUGCCCACUGACUGAGGUACUGCCAUGAGAGGGGUUUAAGGUCAUCCGUAUGGGUGAAUGUGAAUGUGGGGCUGUUGUUGCCAGGCAGGACGGAC
rnacentral:lncRNA from 1 species